ensembl:lncRNA
AGGAGAGGGUGAUGUCACCUGCGAGUUGGUAACCUACGAGCUGCUGUGAAGGAAACUGUUUAACCGGAUCCCAUUGUACCCGGAGAGCAGAGCCGCCUUUCUAGCAUGCGGGGGCUGCUCAGUGACCUAGGCUGCUGGUAGAGCCUGGACUAGAAGGAUGGAUCUGAAGUACUCCCACCUUCAAGAUAACCACCUCAUCAGCACCCUCUUCCCCAAAGAGGGACGGAUGAAUGACAUGCAAGCAGAUUUUGAUGACCUACAUUCCAUUUCAGUACACUCUUUUUUGCAGGGAAAAAAAUGAGUUUAUAUUUUUAUUUUCUAGUGCCCUCUAUGCCAUUCCAGGAGCAGAGAACAGAGCAUAUCAGAGAGGAUUUGCAUCCAUAGUGUCUAAAAGUUUAACUGGAAAACCUCUAACCCUAUGGAAGUUACCCUUCCUUCAAGAUGCCUCCCUGGGAGGAUUCCAUGUGCAUUUUAGCCUGUUGUCUAAAAGAAGAUGAAACAGAAACCACCCAGUCACAAAUAGGCAACACCAGGAGCCUCCCUGAGACAAAGAGUGGAUGGGAGUACUACUGGUGAAUGUGCUUUUUAGCUUCUGUUCUGAAGAGCAAUCUAAAACAAUGGAGAAGGGUUAUGUCUAACGGGCUCUGUUAGCUUCCUGUCAGACUCUACUCUGGCUUUGCUAAAGUGGAAUUGGUUUGUUUACUGCCUUUUUUUUCUUGAGCCAAAGCUGUGUGUAAACACCUCAUCCCCAUGGGGC